UUUUCAAUGUAAAUAAAAUAACACACACAAACUCUGCUUCUUCCUUCUUCAUGUACUUCAUCUUCUUCUUCCUUCUUCCUCCUUCCUCCUUCCUCCUGUACAUCAUCUUCUUCUUCCUUCUUUCUAGACUUCAUCUUCUUUGUUCAUCAUCUUCUUCCUUCCUUCUACCUAGACUUCAUCUUCUUUGUUCUUCAUCUUCCUCAUUCCUAUAGAUCAAUAAUCCGAUUACAUUUGUGUGAAUUUCAGAGCAUAAGAGGCUAAUCCAAGUAAAUUGUAUUACUUUAUGUGAAUGACUAGGCAAUGAUUUUGCGUAUGCAAACAGAAUCCAAUUACAUUUCUAUAUCAACCUUAAGAGUUAUAUUGUAGGAAUUGGGUAGAUUACUUGCUGCCUUGCUGGAGAUGGGUCUUGCUCAACUAAGUGGUAUGCAGUCGUGGCUUAGGGGGUCUUGGUCCAAAUAAUUUCUCAGGAUCCCUGCCUUUAGAGAUUGGAAACCAUACAAGAUUGCAACAAUUGUAAGUUUCCAACAUGAUGUAUGAAUGGGACUCGUCAUGGUACAAAAGUCUGGCUUUCUUUUAAACUGCAUGAUCUUCAAAAUCUUUUUUCACUCUCCAAGGCUGGUGGUUCUAAUUAUGGAUCUAUAAGUAAUUUCUCAUUCAUGGUGGAGGCAAUCUGUUUCUGUAUUUGUGAUGUAAUACAAGUUUAUUGAUUUCAAGUUUAAUCCAAUGAUAGUUGAACUACUUUAAGUGGUAUAUUAUCUGAUAUCUAAUAUCUGUCUGGUUCGUGCAAGGGAGUUAGAUAUAGAUUUGUUACAUUUCACACACUUGUAUCCAACAGUUGGGAUGAAUGGGUUGGCACGGAUUGCCUGAUGAAAAUUACCAAUGAAAAUAUCCACAAACAGCAGGCUCUAGAGAAUAAACAAGGUGUAGACAACUUAAAUACGUCUUGACGUUCGAAUCACACAAACCUCAAAAGUUCUACUGGUUAGCCACUUCUUACAAGUAAAUAUUUAUGAUGUUCAUCAAUUGAAUUGGUUAAAGGCAUAACAAAUCAACAAAACAAUGUUAGCUAAUAAACAUAUAUUCUCUUCUAAUAUGCUAAUAAGCUUUAAUUUUGUUUUUCUUAUCUCCACUGAUAUAGGCUCUA